AGUGAACGCUGGCGGUAGGCCUAACACAUGCAAGUCGAACGGCAGCACAGUAAGAGCUUGCUCUUACGGGUGGCGAGUGGCGGACGGGUGAGGAGUACAUCGGAAUCUACUUUUUCGUGGGGGAUAACGUAGGGAAACUUACGCUAAUACCGCAUACGACCUAAGGGUGAAAGCAGGGGAACUUCGGACCUUGCGCGAUUGAAUGAGCCGAUGUCGGAUUAGCUAGUUGGCGGGGUAAAGGCCCACCACGGCGACGAUCCGUAGCUGGUCUGAGAGGAUGAUCAGCCACACUGGAACUGAGACACGGUCCAGACUCCUACGGGAGGCAGCAGUGGGGAAUAUUGGACAAUGGGCGCAAGCCUGAUCCAGCCAUACCGCGUGGGUGAAGAAGGCCUUCGGGUUGUAAAGCCCUUUUGUUGGGAAAGAAAAGCAGCAGGUUAAUACCCCGCUGUUCUGACGGUACCCAAAGAAUAAGCACCGGCUAACUUCGUG
rnacentral:rRNA from 1 species